CUCGUAGGCGGUUUGUCGCGUCUGCUGUGAAAUCCGGAGGCUCAACCUCCGGCCUGCAGUGGGUACGGGCAGACUAGAGUGCGGUAGGGGAGAUUGGAAUUCCUGGUGUAGCGGUGGAAUGCGCAGAUAUCAGGAGGAACACCAAUGGCGAAGGCAGAUCUCUGGGCCGUAAUGACGCUGAGGAGCGAAAGCAUGGGGAGCGAACA
rnacentral:rRNA from 1 species